UGAUCACACUUAUUUUAUUCUGCGUUGUAAAUAUGUAUACCGCUUCUCCUUCCCUCCCCCCUUCAAUCAUUUGCUUUGAAAUGCCCCAAUGCCUCGACUCACAUACAGAUGAACGGACUGUCUGCUGCACCUCAUUUUUCGUUACUCUACUAUUUAAGAUACUCGUAAUGACACUCUUAUCACGUGGUGGACUAUAAAUAAAAUCACAAAAAAUAUUAACCAAAAUACCCUGGCGCCGCGACUCAGACAGCGGAUUGUAGCUCUAGUCACAGGUAACUUUUAACGUCCGGUCCGCAAAAAG
rnacentral:lncRNA from 1 species